UUAGAUGCCCAAGGAUGGUAUGGAUGCAACUUAAAGAUGGGACAGGUGCUCUGAUGCCUUCUUGAAAGGGAUCACAAAUGCUUCCAAGGGAUGUCUCAGUCUCCAUCUUCUACUGCAAAAUAAGCUCUAUUUGCAGGUUGAGAUCAGUGGGUGAGCAGCUUCUGAGAAGUCUACAGGACAGGAAACAAUUAAUUUUCGGUGGGAGAGACCUUUGCUACACAGAGGUUGAUCUGAAUGGAGAGUUUCUGCUCCUUCUGCAUUGAGUUGUGUGUUUUCUCUUAUUUCGGAUGUUUGUACCCAGCACUCUAGAAUAUCUGUUUCUUGAGCUCUACCAGGCUUUGCAGUGUGCUCAUUUUUUACCACAGAAACCUGUACUUUGUUAAGCCUUGAGAGUAACACUUUUAGACAGAUGUUCACAAGCACUUCAGUUACUCUGCUGAAAAUUUACGCAUUUGUGUUAUUUGAUUCUAUAUGUAAUAGUUGAACUGUCCCGAAAAAUCUCACCUGCAGUGUCUCAAGAUCUGUUGUUUGCUGUGCUUUGUUGAGGUUGUUACAGAUGUCUGCUGAAGAUACACGAAGUUGUGGAGUAAAUGAGAAGGGACAGCACUGUCCUGUCAUUAACAGGUCCAGAAGAAGUCAUAUCCCAACAAUAUCACAGAAUCACAAGUGUUGGAAGGAACCUCAAGAGACUAUUUAGUUCAAUCCUCCUGCCAAGGCAGGAACCCUACAAUAGGUCACACAGAUGGGUGGCCAGCCAGGUUUUGAAUAUAGAAUCAUAGAACGGCCUGGGUCGAAAAGGACCACGAUGACCAUCGAGUUUCAACCCCCUGCUAUGUGCAGAAUCACCAACCACCAGACCAGGCUGCCCAGAGCCACAUCCAUAGGGGACUCCACCACCUCCCUUGUCAGCCUGCUCCAGUGCUCCGUCACCCUUAUCAUACAGAAGUUCUUCCAUAUGUUUGUACAGAGCUUCCUAUGUUCAAGUUUUAGGUCACUGCUCCUUUUCCUAACACUACUCACCACCAAGAGGAGCCUGGCUUCAUCAAUCUGCCUCCGACCUCCCCUUACAAACACAAAUCAGAUCCUCUCUCAGUCUUUUCUCAUUUGGUUUCCAGCUGCUGGGAACGAGGCUAUUUCAUCUCUUUUUCUGCACCAGCUGUGUGAUAAAGCCAUGCCGUCGUUUCCCCGUUCUAGGAUUGCUGUUAGAAAUGUUUAUUACACACGGGGGCAGUAGCACACCGUGAAGAUGCUCAGUGUGUUAAUCCGGUGAUUUACAGCAGGAUAUUUAGCGUUCGUUAGCUGGCUGUGUGUUUGACAGCUACUGGCAAGGAGUAUUAACCUACAUCCAAGUUUGUCCUAAGUGGGGAGUUGAACGUGAUGACCUGUCAGGGUCCCUUCCAACUCAGAGGAUUCUUUGGGCACAGCAGGUGUCUUAAGAAGGAUUUGUUGUAGGAACCAGAAGUGUGUUCUGCUCCAAAAAUCUCUCUGAAACCAGAGCUGACUUGGUUCAGCUGCGAUCUCCUUCCUGUGAAUGUGGCAAAUGGAAACCUCAUCUGCAGCGCGGGACCGUACAGGAGAGGGGUCUAACUAGCAGAAGAAGUGGCUGCAGGUGCAUGCUGUGCCUUUAAUGCACUCCUCAACACAGCACCCAAAAAACUGAAGUGUGGAAGCUGACAGAAUAACUGUUGUGUGGCCAUUUAGCAACUAUCUGCUAAAACAUGGAGGUC